UACAGAGGUCUCAAGCGUUGUUCGGAUUCAUUGGGCGUAAAGGGUGCGUAGGCGGUGCGGAAAGUCGGGUGUGAAAUCCCCCAGCUCAACUGGGGAAUUGCGCCUGAAACUACCGUGCUCGAGGAAGACAGAGGUACGCGGAACUUAGGGUGGAGCGGUGAAAUGCGUUGAUAUCCUAAGGAACACCGGUGGCGAAAGCGGCGUACUGGGUCUUAUCUGACGCUGAGGCACGAAAGCUAGGGUAGCGAACGGG
rnacentral:rRNA from 1 species